rnacentral:rRNA from 1 species
GUUAAGCGACUAAGCGUACACGGUGGAUGCCCUGGCAGUCAGAGGCGAUGAAGGACGUGCUAAUCUGCGAUAAGCGUCGGUGAGGUGAUAUGAACCGUUAUAACCGGCGAUUUCCGAAUGGGGAAACCCAGUGUGUUUCGACACACUAUCAUUAACUGAAUCCAUAGGUUAAUGAGGCGAACCGGGGGAACUGAAACAUCUAAGUACCCCGAGGAAAAGAAAUCAACCGAGAUUCCCCCAGUAGCGGCGAGCGAACGGGGAGGAGCCCAGAGCCUGAAUCAGUGUGUGUGUUAGUGGAAGCGUCUGGAAAGGCGUGCGAUACAGGGUGACAGCCCCGUACACAAAAAUGCACAUAUUGUGAGCUCGAUGAGUAGGGCGGGACACGUGGUAUCCUGUCUGAAUAUGGGGGGACCAUCCUCCAAGGCUAAAUACUCCUGACUGACCGAUAGUGAACCAGUACCGUGAGGGAAAGGCGAAAAGAACCCCGGCGAGGGGAGUGAAAAAGAACCUGAAACCGUGUACGUACAAGCAGUGGGAGCCUCUUUAUGGGGUGACUGCGUACCUUUUGUAUAAUGGGUCAGCGACUUAUAUUCUGUAGCAAGGUUAACCGAAUAGGGGAGCCGAAGGGAAACCGAGUCUUAACUGGGCGUUAAGUUGCAGGGUAUAGACCCGAAACCCGGUGAUCUAGCCAUGGGCAGGUUGAAGGUUGGGUAACACUAACUGGAGGACCGAACCGACUAAUGUUGAAAAAUUAGCGGAUGACUUGUGGCUGGGGGUGAAAGGCCAAUCAAACCGGGAGAUAGCUGGUUCUCCCCGAAAGCUAUUUAGGUAGCGCCUCGUGAAUUCAUCUCCGGGGGUAGAGCACUGUUUCGGCAAGGGGGUCAUCCCGACUUACCAACCCGAUGCAAACUGCGAAUACCGGAGAAUGUUAUCACGGGAGACACACGGCGGGUGCUAACGUCCGUCGUGAAGAGGGAAACAACCCAGACCGCCAGCUAAGGUCCCAAAGUCAUGGUUAAGUGGGAAACGAUGUGGGAAGGCCCAGACAGCCAGGAUGUUGGCUUAGAAGCAGCCAUCAUUUAAAGAAAGCGUAAUAGCUCACUGGUCGAGUCGGCCUGCGCGGAAGAUGUAACGGGGCUAAACCAUGCACCGAAGCUGCGGCAGCGACACUAUGUGUUGUUGGGUAGGGGAGCGUUCUGUAAGCCUGUGAAGGUGGCCUGUGAGGGUUGCUGGAGGUAUCAGAAGUGCGAAUGCUGACAUAAGUAACGAUAAAGCGGGUGAAAAGCCCGCUCGCCGGAAGACCAAGGGUUCCUGUCCAACGUUAAUCGGGGCAGGGUGAGUCGACCCCUAAGGCGAGGCCGAAAGGCGUAGUCGAUGGGAAACAGGUUAAUAUUCCUGUACUUGGUGUUACUGCGAAGGGGGGACGGAGAAGGCUAUGUUGGCCGGGCGACGGUUGUCCCGGUUUAAGCGUGUAGGCUGGUUUUCCAGGCAAAUCCGGAAAACCAAGGCUGAGGCGUGAUGACGAGGCACUACGGUGCUGAAGCGACAAAUGCCCUGCUUCCAGGAAAAGCCUCUAAGCAUCAGGUAACAUCAAAUCGUACCCCAAACCGACACAGGUGGUCAGGUAGAGAAUACCAAGGCGCUUGAGAGAACUCGGGUGAAGGAACUAGGCAAAAUGGUGCCGUAACUUCGGGAGAAGGCACGCUGAUAUGUAGGUGAAGCGACUUGCUCGUGGAGCUGAAAUCAGUCGAAGAUACCAGCUGGCUGCAACUGUUUAUUAAAAACACAGCACUGUGCAAACACGAAAGUGGACGUAUACGGUGUGACGCCUGCCCGGUGCCGGAAGGUUAAUUGAUGGGGUUAGCGGUAACGCGAAGCUCUUGAUCGAAGCCCCGGUAAACGGCGGCCGUAACUAUAACGGUCCUAAGGUAGCGAAAUUCCUUGUCGGGUAAGUUCCGACCUGCACGAAUGGCGUAAUGAUGGCCAGGCUGUCUCCACCCGAGACUCAGUGAAAUUGAACUCGCUGUGAAGAUGCAGUGUACCCGCGGCAAGACGGAAAGACCCCGUGAACCUUUACUAUAGCUUGACACUGAACAUUGAGCCUUGAUGUGUAGGAUAGGUGGGAGGCUUUGAAGUGUGGACGCCAGUCUGCAUGGAGCCGACCUUGAAAUACCACCCUUUAAUGUUUGAUGUUCUAACGUUGGCCCGUAAUCCGGGUUGCGGACAGUGUCUGGUGGGUAGUUUGACUGGGGCGGUCUCCUCCUAAAGAGUAACGGAGGAGCACGAAGGUUGGCUAAUCCUGGUCGGACAUCAGGAGGUUAGUGCAAUGGCAUAAGCCAGCUUGACUGCGAGCGUGACGGCGCGAGCAGGUGCGAAAGCAGGUCAUAGUGAUCCGGUGGUUCUGAAUGGAAGGGCCAUCGCUCAACGGAUAAAAGGUACUCCGGGGAUAACAGGCUGAUACCGCCCAAGAGUUCAUAUCGACGGCGGUGUUUGGCACCUCGAUGUCGGCUCAUCACAUCCUGGGGCUGAAGUAGGUCCCAAGGGUAUGGCUGUUCGCCAUUUAAAGUGGUACGCGAGCUGGGUUUAGAACGUCGUGAGACAGUUCGGUCCCUAUCUGCCGUGGGCGCUGGAGAACUGAGGGGGGCUGCUCCUAGUACGAGAGGACCGGAGUGGACGCAUCACUGGUGUUCGGGUUGUCAUGCCAAUGGCACUGCCCGGUAGCUAAAUGCGGAAGAGAUAAGUGCUGAAAGCAUCUAAGCACGAAACUUGCCCCGAGAUGAGUUCUCCCUGACUCCUUGAGAGUCCUGAAGGAACGUUGAAGACGACGACGUUGAUAGGCCGGGUGUGUAAGCGCAGCGAUGCGUUGAGCUAACCGGUACUAAUGAACCGUGAGG